rnacentral:rRNA from 1 species
ACCUGCGGAAGGAUCAUUGUCGUGACCCUGACCAAAAGAGACCGUGAACAUGUCAUCCAUGCCGCCGGGGGAUGGGGCUUGCACCUAUCUCUUGGUUUAAAAAGAACCCACGGCGCCGAAUGGCGUCAAGGAACACUCAGAUUGUCUAGCUUGGGGUGCUGCUCCGCAUGCCGGACGCACCUCGAGCAGCGACCAUAUGUUAAUCAACAUGACUCUCGGCAACGGAUAUCUCGGCUCUCGCAUCGAUGAAGAACGUAGCAAAAUGCGAUACCUGGUGUGAAUUGCAGAAUCCCGUGAACCAUCGAGUUUUUGAACGCAAGUUGCGCCCGAGGCCUUUUGGUUGAGGGCACGUCUGCCUGGGCGUCACGCCAAAAGACACUCCCCACCCACCCUGGUGUGGAUGUGGUGUUUGGCCCCUCAUGCCGUAUGGCGUGGUGGGCCGAAGUUGGGGCUGCCGGCGUUGCCGAUCACAGCACAAGGUGGAUGACGCACGUUGUUCUCGGUGCUAUGAUUUGGACACGUUUCUGGCGAUGACAUGGCCCUGGUGACCCAUUAAUUGAGACGCAAGUCGUUCGGACCGCGACCCCAGGUCAGUCGGGAUUACCCGCCGAAUUUAAGCAUAUCAAUAAGCGG